AAUUUUCUAUUUCUAAAUUUUCCAGACUAAAAAUGGGAGAUGAGCUGGUCCCCAUGUUUAUGAAGAUAGGGUUGACGGAGCAGAAGGCGAAGGAGACCGCUAAGAACAAGAACCUCUCUAAGGUCCUAAGCAGUGUGGUGAAUGAUGCCUCCAAGGAGAGCAAAGACCUGACUAGUUAUGGAACCCUGCUCUACCAUGUCGCUUCUAAAAUUAAACCUCAGGUGUUCCACUUUACCCCUCUUCUAGUCAAGUAUAUCUGUUCCGGGAAAAUCGACAGUGAGCUCCGGCUCAAUGCCGCCAUAGAUUUCCUGGCUAAAUGUCCUCCAGGAAAAUCUAUUGAGAGUUUAGAUAUUUCCAGUUUCGAGGAUUCUUGUGGAGUUGGUGUAGUGGUGACUCCAGCUCAGAUUGAAGAGGCUGUUGAAGCAGAACUCGCCAAGGUAAAGGAGGAGUUAUUGGAGAAGAGAUAUAGAUUCAACUCUGGUAUUCUAAUGGGAAACGUGAGAAACAAGCUGAAAUGGGCGGACGGAAAAGCAAUCAAGAGCGAGACAGAUAUGCAGAUACUGGAUAUCCUUGGACCCAAGACUGAUGAAGAUCUGGCCCCAGUAAAGAAACAGAAAGCUCCAGCUGUUAAAGAAGAUAAGAAGACGACUAAAAAAGAAGAGAAGGAAGAUGAAGAAACUGAAGGAGCUGCAACUAUUGCUGAACUCAUGAAGAACAAGGUUCACUUCCAUGCUACCGGAAUGAACCAUACUACGGACGGAUACCAAGUUACUCCGGACACUGACCGACUUCUCCGUGAGCAUCUGGAGAGAACUGGCGGUCAGGUUAGAACUAGGUUUCCUCCAGAACCCAACGGUAUUCUUCACAUUGGUCACGCUAAAGCAAUUAAUAUUAACUUCGGUUAUGCUAAAGCUUACGACGGAAUAACCUUUCUCCGGUAUGAUGAUACAAACCCGGAGAAAGAAGAGGAGAAGUUCUUCACUGGAAUCCUUGAUAUGGUAACUUGGCUUGGAUACAAACCUUAUCAGAUUACUCAUUCCUCAGAUUAUUUUGACAAACUGUACAACAUGGCGGUUCAUUUGAUAAAAAAAGAUCUGGCUUAUGUGUGUCAUCAGAAACUGGAAGAUAUUCGAGGCUUUAACCCUCCUCCGUCUCCAUAUAGAACCCGUCCUAUCCAAGAAUCUCUCUCUCUCUUCAAGGAUAUGAAGAACGGAAAAUUUGACGAAGGCGAGGCGACACUGAGGAUGAAGAUAACCCUGGAGGAGGGUAAACAGGACCCAGUUGCGUACAGAAUUAAAUAUGUCGCUCAUCAUCGAACUGGAGACACUUGGUGUAUCUAUCCUACCUACGACUAUACUCACUGUCUCUGUGACAGUAUAGAAGAUAUAACACACUCCCUAUGUACAAAAGAGUUCCAGGCCCGCCGGUCUUCCUACUACUGGCUCUGUAACGCUGUUGAUAUCUACUGCCCUGUACAGUGGGAGUACGGUAGACUUAGCGUCAACUACACUGUUGUCAGCAAACGAAAGAUCAGUAAGUUGAUUGAGACUGGUGUAGUAUCAGACUGGGAUGAUCCAAGAUUGUUUACUUUAACCGCUCUCCGGCGCCGUGGAUUCCCCGCCGAAGCGAUCAAUAACUUCUGUGCCAAGAUGGGUGUGACCGGGGCUUUGACGGCGGUAGACCCAGCAAUGUUGGACGCCGCGGUCAGAGAUCAUCUCAACGUUUCAGCUCCGAGAACCAUGGUUGUUCUUGAACCUCUCCGGGUUACUAUUCUCAACCUGGAUAAAGACGAAGAAAUAGAAAUACCCAACUUCCCGAACGACCCGGAGAAAGGUGUUCAUAAGGUUAAAUUCUCUUCUAAAAAUAUCUUUAUUGAGAGUUCUGACUUUAAGAAAACUGAUGAGAAAGGAUUCCGACGCUUAUCUCCUGGACAAUCUGUAGGUUUAAGAUACUCCGGGUAUGUGAUAACAUUGGUAGAAGCGGUGGAAACCAAUGGACAGGUUACCGAGUUGAAGGUUAAUGCAGUACCUGUUGGAGAUGCAGAGAAGCCCAAAGCUUUUAUUCAUUGGGUCAGCUCACCCAUAGAUAUUGAGGUUCGAGUUUACGACCGGUUGUUUAAACACAAGAAUCCCGAGGAUUCUGCGGAGGUUCCUGGAGGAUUUCUCUCCGAUGUUAAAUCUAAUACACUUGAAAUCAAGAACGCAAAGGCUGAUAGAUAUCUAAGUGACGUCAAGGUGUACGACAGGUUUCAGUUCGAGCGGAAUGGAUUCUAUACUGUAGACCGGGAUACAACCAAGAGCAAGAUUGUUUUUAACCUCACGGUCGGGCUUAAGGAGGACGCCGGGAAGUAGAUCUCCUUCCUUCACUACUUCAAGAUGAAGAACCUGAUCUUUAAAUUUUUAAAACUCUUGAAAUCUUUAAUGAUACAAGAACUGGUGCUCAAGCCUCACUUAGAUUAAAAGAAAUUUUUUCUUUUAAAAUCUUUUUCUGCUUUUUUACAUUUUUUCCGCUGCUAUAGAUAAAUGAAUUGAGCCUUGAUUUAUCCCUUUCUCUAUUUCAUCUCAUCUCCCAGUCCACGAACGUGAAUCUUGUUAACCAAGUUUUGGAUGAAAUGAUCAUGUAUCAAUAUAAAUAUAAUCUAAAGGAUU
rnacentral:misc_RNA from 1 species